GAUUCUUCUUAUAUGGUGGAUAAUGGCCAAAAGGUCGAGUAUUGUAGCGUGUUGGUUUCUUCAUUUGUGGUACCUUAGCUAGAGGUGUCUCGUAGACAGGUGGUUUCACAUGAGGAGGUGGGUGAAAGGGUGGAUGAUGGUAAAUUGGUGGGGGUGGAUGAUAUGCUUGUGGUGGAGGUGUUUUCACAUAAGGCGAUUUAUACACUGGUGGUAGUUUUUCAUGAGGAGGUUGAUACUUUGGCAUUGGCUUUUCAUGACGCGGUGGGUUAUAAUUUGGUGGUAAUUUCUUAUGAGGUGGCGCAAACUCUGGUGGUGGAUUUUCAUGUGGUGAUUUUUCGUGAGGAGGUUGAUACUUUGUUGAUGGAGGUGGUGGUUGGUACUCUGGCAACGAGAUUUCUUGUGGUGGUUUUUCAUGAGGUGGGUGAUGCGUAGGUGGUGUAUUUUCAUGAGGUGGUUUCUCAUGUGGAGGUUUGUACUCUGGAGGUGGAUUUUCUUGUGGUGGUUGGUACUCUGGAGGGGGAUGUUCAUGUGGUGGUUUUUCAUGAGGUGGUUUGUAUUCUGGUGGUGGAUGCACAUGUGGUGGUUGGUUCUCUGGAGGCGGAUGUUCAUAAUGAGGUGGUUUUUCAUGAGGUGGUUGAUACUCUGGUGGUGGAUUUUCAUGAGGUGGGUUCUCAUGCGGAGGUUGGUGCUCUGGUGGUGGAUGCACAUGAGGUGGUUGAUAUUCUGGUGGUGGAUGUUCAUGUGGUGGCUUUUCAUGAGGUGGUUGGUACUCUGAUGGUGGCUUCAUUUGUGGUGGUUUCUCAUGAGGUGGUUGGUACUCUUGUGGUGGUGGUUCAUAUGGUGAUUUUUCAUGAGGUGGUUUUAGAUAAGGAGGUUGGUACUCAGGUGGUGGAUGCACAUGUGGCGGUUUUUCGUGAGGUGGUUGGUACUCCGGCGGUGGAUGUUCAUGAGGUGGUUGAUACUCUGGUGGUGGAUGCACAUGUGGUGGUUUCUCAUGAGGUGGUUGAUACUCAGGUGGUGGAUGCUCAUGUGGUGGUUUCUCGUGAGGUGGUUGGUACUCUGGAGGUGGAUGUUCAUGCGGUGGUUUUUCAUGAGGUGGUUGAUACUCUGGUGGUGAACUUUCAUGUGGUGGUUUUUCGUGAGGUGGUUGGUAUUCUGGCGGCGGCUUCUCAUAAGGUGGUGUAUACUCAGGUGGUGGCUUUUCAUGAGGUGGCUGGUACUCAGGCGGUGGUUUUUCAUGAUGAGGUGGUUGAUACUCUGGUGGUGGUUUCUCAUAAGGUGGUUUGUAUUCUGGCGGUGGGUUCUCAUAUGGUGGUUUUCCAUGAUGAGGUGGCUCAUAUUCUGGUGAUGGAUUCUCACGAGGUGGUUGAUAUUCUCGUGGUGGCUCUUCAUGUGGUGGUUUCUCAUAUGGUGGCUCGUACACCGGAGGUGGCUUCUCAUGUGGAGGAUGGUAUAUUGGUGGUGUGUGGGCCGGAGGUUUAUAAUUUGGUGGUGGAUGAAUUAUUGGAGGCUUAUAAACUGGUGGUGGUUCCUCGGUUGGUGGAGGCUCAUAGAUGGGUGGUUUCUCGAUGGGAGGUUCAUAAGUGGGUGGUUUGUAAUAUUCAGCUAACACUGGAGUAGUGAGCAUCACUACUCCAAGCAGGAGUAUUGCUAGUGAGUGCAUAGAGGCCAUGCCUCGGGUUGUGAUGAACAAAAAUGGAAUGGAGGAACAAGUAUUUAUAAGUAAAAACACGUAAAAUUUUAGUGUGAAGUCAUCUUCAAUUCUUUGGCAUUUCAUUAUGCAUACAAAGUAUUAAUUAUUAAAGUAUCCAAAUGAGGUCAAAAGAAGGUAGCAUCUUUUAAUUUGAUAACAACAAUCUAUGCAUUGGCUAGGAUUAUAUUUUUGUAUAAUAUAGCUAGGAAUUUU
rnacentral:lncRNA from 1 species